CUGCCUGGACACAUCCUACUCACUCUUACUGGAGGUGAUGAAGAAGAGUGGAAGCAGCAGCGUCACUGGCAUGCUGAACUGACUGCAGUGUUGAAUAGAGUGAGUGUGUUUAUGGCAAGGCAGCAGUGGGAGCAAGGUCGGUCCACACCUCUGGGUGAUGAGCAAGCGGAUGAAAAGACAUGGCAGAAGGAGCUGUGGGAGCAAUUAAAUCAGAGAUACACCGAGCUGGACGUUGCUCUUUCUUCACUACACUGCACCUGCAAGAUCAGCCAGCUCCGUGCUGCUACUGCAGAGAUCUCAAGGAGACGACAUUUCCCGUGCACAUGACAGUCCCCAAACUGUCAGGUGAGGACUGGGCCAGUUUGCUGGAGCUCUCGCCACUCUUCCGGCUUAUCCAAGAUGUGGAACAGCGGCUCAGAGACCAAGCAAAGAACGCCGGCCUGCUUAGCG
ensembl:lncRNA